rnacentral:rRNA from 1 species
CACAUGCAAGUCGAACGAGAAAGUUCCUUCGGGGACGAGUAAAGUNGCGCACGGGUGAGUAACGCGUAGAUAAUCUGUCCAGGUGUUUGGGAUAGCCCUUCGAAAGGGGGAUUAAUACCGAAUACGUUGGUCUGUCAUAAGACGGAUUAAGAAAGGUGGCCUCUAUUUAUAAGCUAUCGCAUUUGGAGGAGUCUGCGUACCAUUAGUUUGUUGGUGGGGUAAUGGCCUACCAAGACUUCGAUGGUUAGCGGGUCUGAGAGGAUGAUCCGUCACACUGGCACUGAAACACGGGCCAGACUCCUACGGGAGGCAGCAGUGAGGAAUAUUGCGCAAUGGGGGAAACCCUGACGCAGCGACGCCGCGUGGGUGAGGAAGGCUUUCGGGUCGUAAAGCCCUGUCAGGUGGGAAGAAAUGUGUAUUGGUUAAUAUCCUUUACAUUUGACGGUACCACCAAAGGAAGCACCGGCUAACUCCGUGCCAGCAGCCGCGGUAAUACGGAGGGUGCAAACGUUGUUCGGAAUCACUGGGCGUAAAGGGCGCGCAGGCGGUUUGAUUAGUCAGAUGUGAAAGCCCACGGCUCAACCGUGGAAGUGCAUUUGAAACUGUCAGACUUGAGUACCAGAGGGGGUAGUGGAAUUCCCGGUGUAGAGGUGAAAUUCGUAGAUAUCGGGAGGAAUACCGGUGGCGAAGGCGACUACCUGGCUGGAUACUGACGCUGAGGCGCGAAAGCGUGGGGAGCAAACAGGAUUAGAUACCCUGGUAGUCCACGCCGUAAACGAUGUGAACUAGAUGUAGGGGGUGUUGAUCCCCUCUGUGUCGCAGCUAACGCAUUAAGUUCACCGCCUGGGGAGUACGGUCGCAAGAUUAAAACUCAAAGGAAUUGACGG